GAUGAACGCUAGCUACAGGCUUAACACAUGCAAGUCGAGGGGAAACGACAUCGAAAGCUUGCUUUUGAUGGGCGUCGACCGGCGCACGGGUGAGUAACGCGUAUCCAACCUGCCCACCACUUGGGGAUAACCUUGCGAAAGUAAGACUAAUACCCAAUGACGUCUCUAGAAGACAUCUGAAAGAGAUUAAAGAUUUAUCGGUGAUGGAUGGGGAUGCGUCUGAUUAGCUUGUUGGCGGGGUAACGGCCCACCAAGGCGACGAUCAGUAGGGGUUCUGAGAGGAAGGUCCCCCGCAUUGGAACUGAGACACGGUCCAAACUCCUACGGGAGGCAGCAGUGAGGAAUAUUGGUCAAUGGACGAGAGUCUGAACCAGCCAAGUAGCGUGCAGGAGGACGGCCCUAUGGGUUGUAAACUGCUUUUAUAAGGGAAUAAAGUGAGUCUCGUGAGACUUUUUGCAUGUACCUUAUGAAUAAGGACCGGCUAAUUCCGUG
rnacentral:rRNA from 1 species